AUGCGGAAUAGUCUGAUAAAAUAAUUUAGUUUCAGACUUUCAGUUGCGCUCACAGUUUGACCCUAAUACAUACAACCAAACACCAGCUUUUUUGGUUGGGAAGUAACAUUACAUCGGAUCACAAAAGGGUGGUCCUUGCUGGACUUCAGGACAUGACUCCCGUACAGGCAUACUCCAUAUGGGGAGAACAGUUGUGAGCUAUCUAGUAUGGAUAAAGUUAAUUUAGUUUUCUUAGGUUUAAAUAGUUUAGCAACACUGGAUAACUAUUAGGAAUGGUUCUUACUCGACCUCUAGGGAACUAAUAAAACUAUCCAGUACAAAUAAAGUUAGUUUAUAUUGCGUUGCAAGCACUCCAAGUCCGAAGUCCAACAAAUCUGCCUUGCAAUUUUUGCCGCGAUUUUAGGUUUCUUUUUCUGAAGAAUGUAAACCGAACGAGAUGCAUGAGUUAUGAUUGUUCUGAGUAUAUUUAUCCUCACCUCAAACAUUCAUAAUUCAUCCACAUGACCUCAUCUAUCACAAGGGUCGAGAGUCGCACCGAAAAUCGCAGUAAAAAUUGCUAGCUGAUACUUUUGGUGGUCGUGUUGUUUAUGCCCUGGUGGCCUUGAUACUUUGCAGAGUUCGAGUGCCACCGCAUGAUAGCUUGUGUGC